UACGUAGGGGCAAGCGUUGUCCGGAAUCAUUGGGCGUAAAGAGCGUGUAGGCGGCUCGGUAAGUCCGCUGUGAAAGUCCAGGGCUCAACCCUGGAAUGCCGGUGGAAACUGUCGAGCUAGAGUCCGGAAGAGGCGAGUGGAAUUCCUGGUGUAGCGGUGAAAUGCGCAGAUAUCAGGAGGAACACCAAUGGCGAAGGCAGCUCGCUGGGGACGGGUACUGACGCCUGAGACGCGAAAGCGUGGGGAGCAAACAGG
rnacentral:rRNA from 1 species